UACUCUCCUAAGAUCACAUUUCUUGACUCUUGCUACAUUUUUUAUGUACCCGCUUCUUCAAAAAUUAUUUAUUUUAAUUAUAUUUCUAUUAUCUAAAUGAUUUAAAAUGAUAAUCUUUGUUCAAUAUAUGUAUAUAUUCUUAUUUUAAUCUCCGCAAAAAUAUAAAAGAAAGUUAAAUGUAAACAAUCACAAUAUUGAAGUAUGUGUAUAUGCUCUCUCCA
rnacentral:lncRNA from 1 species